AGUUCAGGGUUAGUGACUUGGUAUUGUGCAAAACAAGUUUACAUCAUAUAAACUUAAUGUGUAGCUUACUUUUGUGGUUCAGUAUACGUUUGUGCCGGAGACGGGAAGGUCAUAUCGACUUGACAUUAUUUGUUAAAAAUGUCUCGUUACCUAAGAACCGCAUUUGUGUUUCUGACCAUCCUGUACUGUUUCCUGUACUGCGCACAACUCGGAGUGACUGCCGCCACGAAACCUCUCAAGUGUCCCAAUGACAAGGUACCGCUCAAAAUAGGGGCCAGCGAGGUCUGCAUCCCCAAGAACUACACACUCACCGAAGAAAAACUAACGUAGUACAAAU